GUGCAGCAGUCGCGAAAACUUUACAAUGCGGGAAACCGUGAUAAGGGAACCCCGAGUGCCUGUAUAUGCAGGCUGUCCAGGUGUCUAAAAAACACCUGAAGAAAGGGCCGGGCAAGACCGGUGCCAGCCGCCGCGGUAAUACCGGCGGCUCGAGUGGUGGCCACUUUUAUUGGGCUUAAAGCGUUCGUAGCUGGGUUGUUAAGUCUCUUGGGAAAUCUGACGGCUCAACCGUCAGGCGUCCAAGGGAUACUGGCAAUCUUGGAACCGGGAGAGGUGAGGGGUACUUCGGGGGUAGGAGUGAAAUCCUGUAAUCCUCGAGGGACCACCUGUGGCGAAGGCGCCUCACCAGAACGGCUUCGACAGUGAGGGACGAAAGCUGGGGGAGCAAACCGGAUUAGAUACCCUCGUAGUCC
rnacentral:rRNA from 1 species